rnacentral:rRNA from 1 species
UACGUAGGGUGCAAGCGUUAAUCGGAAUUAGUCUGGCGUAAGCGUGCGCAGCGGUUGUUGUGUCGGCGGUGAAAGCCCUGGGCUCAACCUGGGAAUGGCCGUUGAAACUGGCGAACUGGAGUGUGGCAGAGGGGGUGGAAUUCCGCGUGUAGCAGUGAAAUGCGUAGAGAUGCGGAGGAACACCGAUGGCGAAGGCAGCCCCCUGGGCUGACACUGACGCUCGAGGCACGAAAGCGUCGGG